UUUUAUGGAGAGUUUGAUCCUGGCUCAGGAUGAACGCUGGCGGCGUGCCUAAUACAUGCAAGUCGAGCGAACGGACGAGAAGCUUGCUUCUCUGAUGUUAGCGGCGGACGGGUGAGUAACACGUGGAUAACCUACCUAUAAGACUGGGAUAACUUCGGGAAACCGGAGCUAAUACCGGAUAAUAUUUUGAACCGCAUGGUUCAAAAGUAAAAGACGGUCUUGCUGUCACUUAUAGAUGGAUCCGCGCUGCAUUAGCUAGUUGGUAAGGUAACGGCUUACCAAGGCAACGAU
rnacentral:rRNA from 1 species